rnacentral:lncRNA from 1 species
GGCUAGGCCUCCCGCUUUUCUGUAGAUACCACGGCAGGGGCUUGGACUCUGGUUUACACCAGUUCAGAUCUAUGCAAUGUUUGUCGCGUUGCUCGCCACUCUAGACUCCACAAGCAUAGAGCAUGGUCGUACAACAUCUAUAUUUUAAAGCAGGAAACAGGAAAGCCCGUACUCGGCAAUUUGAGAGAAUAAUUUUGACAAAAGCACAGAAGAACGGAGCGCUGGAAUAUGGCUCUUCAAAGAGAAUGCAAUUAUGAAUCACAAUUUCAAAACAUAUCAACGGAAAGAGAAGAAAAUUGCACCGACCAGCACUGCUGAGAGCCUGGCCUGAAAAGAUGUACAUCUCCACUCCACACAUCCACAUCAUCUCAAUACCCCAGCAGGAAGAGCGUGCCCCGGAGUGCAUACCCCAGCGUGCGUCAUGCGUGAGCACAAAAGCAGAGUCAUCCUUCUUGGUCAAAGCUCUUACCAGUAACAAGACUGCUGAAAUGAUGAGGAAUCAAAAGAAGACACUAGAACUUUCCAGGAUUGUACAUCUUAGACUGCUCACUCCUGCAUAUGGUCCCUGCUCCAGGGGAUGUAUACCUCUGAAUCCUGUGGCCCAGAGAGCUUACCCCAAUGCCACGAUUCACAAACGGUACACUUGAGAAAGGAGCGCUCCCUCGACACUAGAUCAGAACAUGUGUUAUUUCCUUUAUCAGUUAGGUACCACGGCCGGCCCAUGCCAGCAUGAUGGGUGGCUUCGGCUUGCCUCCUCCACCACCAUCCCUGUCCCCCUGCUGAGCCCUACAGGCUGACCAAUAGGAUUG